rnacentral:rRNA from 1 species
GUGGGGAAUAUUGGACAAUGGGCGAAAGCCUGAUCCAGCCAUGCCGCGUGUGUGAAGAAGGUCUUCGGAUUGUAAAGCACUUUAAGUUGGGAGGAAGGGUAGUAACCUAAUACGUUGCUACUUUGACGUUACCGACAGAAUAAGCACCGGCUAACUUCGUGCCAGCAGCCGCGGUAAUACGAAGGGUGCAAGCGUUAAUCGGAAUUACUGGGCGUAAAGCGCGCGUAGGUGGUUUUGUAAGUUGGAGGUGAAAUCCCCGGGCUCAACCUGGGAACUGCAUCCAAAACUGCAUGACUAGAGUACGGUAGAGGGUAGUGGAAUUUCCUGUGUAGCGGUGAAAUGCGUAGAUAUAGGAAGGAACACCAGUGGCGAAGGCGACUACCUGGACUGAUACUGACACUGAGGUGCGAAAGCGUGGGGAGCAAACAGGAUUAGAUACCCUGGUAGUCC